rnacentral:rRNA from 1 species
AAAGCGUGCGCAGGCGGCUUUGCAAGACAGAUGUGAAAUCCCCGGGCUCAACCUGGGAACUGCAUUUGUGACUGCAAGGCUAGAGUACGGCAGAGGGGGAUGGAAUUCCGCGUGUAGCAGUGAAAUGCGUAGAUAUGCGGAGGAACACCGAUGGCGAAGGCAAUCCCCUGGGCCUGUACUGACGCUCAUGCACGAAAGCGUGGGGAGCAAACAGGAUUAGAUACCCCUGU